rnacentral:lncRNA from 10 species
UGGCCUUCUCAAGACAUAGGUGAAGCUCCAGCUUGAAGGCAAUAAUCCGAAAGGAUGAAGAAGCACCAUACUCAGAAUGCACACUAUACAUUUAAACAGAGACCUAAAUGUGAUGCUCUGCCAAUAAUAGGAAGAAUAUAUGGGCCCAGGUACCAAGGGUUCCUUGCCUAAAGUGAGAGGACUCUUACAAGGAGACAUAGCAAGAGUUUCAUUCAACUGGAACACUUUGGACAUCUUGUGUUCAGGGUCUCACAGGUAAGAAGAGACUCAUCAUUUGGUAGAAUAAUUGACACUGAUCAGCAGAAGGAGGUAGCGAAACUUUCAGACAUUGAUGGUUAGGAGGAAUGUAUAGAAAGCAAGUAAU